rnacentral:tRNA from 1 species
AGUUAAAUAGCUUAUGUAAAAGCUUAUGUUUUGAAAACAUACUAUAGAAGUUCAAUUCUUCUAUUAACUU